UUCUCGUUCCAGACGAGAUACGUAGGCAUAGGACGCGAUGUCCUAGCGAGCCCUCUUCCUCUUUCCCCCACCUGUGUUGUCUUCGGUGUGUGUGUAUGAUGUUUGUUUAGCAACCUUUUUCUAUCGUUAGAGCGUGGAUCCCGUCGAGUACGACGGACGUGAGGGGUGCUAAUACCUUCCCCUUGCGUAACCGACUCCCUUACCCUUUCUCUUUGGUCGCGAGACCAUG
rnacentral:lncRNA from 1 species